UACGUAGGGUGCAAGCGUUAAUCGGAAUUACUGGGCGUAAAGGGCGCGUAGGCGGCUUUUCAAGUCGGGCGUGAAAGCUCCGGGCUUAACCCGGAAAUGUCGCUCGAUACUGUUGAGCUAGAGUGUGGAAGAGGCUACUGGAAUUCCGUGUGUAGCGGUGAAAUGCGUAGAUAUACGGAGGAACACCAGCGGCGAAGGCGGGUAGCUG
rnacentral:rRNA from 1 species